GCUCUGAAGGUAAGAGUUGUAGGAAACUGAACUCUUCCUUGUCUGUGACAGACUGACAGACAGUUUCUGGAGUUCAGUUUUCUCCAACAUCUUAUCUUCAGUGC
rnacentral:pre_miRNA from 1 species